CUACGGGCGGCAGCAGUCGAGAAUCUUGGGCAAUGCGCGAAAGCGUGACCCAGCAAUGCCGCGUGUAUGAUGAAGGCCCUCGGGUCGUAAAGUACUGUCUCCCGUGACGAAAUUUGACGGUGGCGGGGAAGGAAGCCACGGCUAACUACGUGCCAGCAGCCGCGGUAAUACGUAGGUGGCGAGCGUUGUUCGGAUUUAUUGGGCGUAAAGGGUCUGUAGGAGGUCCGUUAAAUACGAGGUGAAAUCCAGAAGCUCAACUUCUGAAUUGCCUUGUAGACUGACGGACUAGAGUAUCGGAGAGGUAAGCGGAAUACCAGGUGUAGCGGUGGAAUGCGUAGAUAUCUGGUAGAACACCAAGAGCGAAGGCAGCUUGCUGGACGAAAACUGACUCUGAAAGACGAAAGCAUGGGGAGCAAACAGGAUUAGAUACCCGCGUAGUC
rnacentral:rRNA from 1 species